rnacentral:rRNA from 1 species
GUCCUCCUACGGGGGGCAGCAGUGGGGAAUAUUGGGCAAUGGGCGCAAGCCUGACCCAGCAACGCCGCGUGAAGGAAGAAGGCUUUCGGGUUGUAAACUUCUUUUAAGAGGGAAGAGCAGAAGACGGUACCUCUUGAAUAAGCUCCGACUAACUACGUGCCAGCAGCCGCGGUAAUACGUAGGGAGCGCGCGUUGUCCUGAUUUACUGGGUGUAAAGGGCGUGCAGCCGGGAGUACGAGUCAGAUGUGAAAUCCCGCGGCUCAACAG